GUAGUCGAUGGGAAACGGGUUAAUAUUCCCGUACUUCUUACAAUUGCGAUGGGGGGACGGAGAAGGCUAGGUGGGCCUGGCGACGGUUGUCCAGGUUCAAGUGCGUAGGCUUAAGAGUUAGGUAAAUCCGGCUCUUUUUAAGGCUGAGACACGACGUCGAGCACCUACGGGUGUGAAGUCAUUGAUGCCAUGCUUCCAGGAAAAGCCUCUAAGCUUCAGAUUGUAAGGAAUCGUACCCCAAACCGACACAGGUGGUCGGGUAGAGAAUACCA
rnacentral:rRNA from 1 species